GGACGGGUGAGUAACACGUGGAUAACCUACCUAUAAGACUGGGAUAACUUCGGGGAACCGGAGCUAAUACCGGAUAAUAUAUUGAACCGCAUGGUUCAAUAGUGAAAGACGGUUUUGCUGUCACUUAUAGAUGGAUCCGCGCCGCAUUAGCUAGUUGGUAAGGUAACGGCUUACCAAGGCAACGAUGCGUAGCCGACCUGAGAGGGUGAUCGGCCACACUGGAACUGAGACACGGUCCAG
rnacentral:rRNA from 1 species